UGGCGCAAGCUUUCAAGGCAAUCUGUUAAAACCUUUUUUUUUUUAUUUACGCUGACUAUCUUUGUAUCGGCUGUCUGUGCUCAUAAACUCCUUUUUGUUGUCGCAGCAAACUGGUGCAUCGGCGAAAGUCAAACGCCAAGGCGCCGAUGCCCCCCAGUCUAGCCAGCCAAAGAGGAAGGGCAUCCACGGUACUAAGACUGGAACAAAGCGCCAGAAAGUGGCAACUCCUCCUUCUCCUCCGGUGUUUUCAAUUCCGGUGGAAUCUUCCCCUUCUUCUCCAGACGUCCAGGCACAGCAAGUACUAUCUCCACAACCAACACAGGAAGCACCACAGAUGGAAGAACCCCAACAGGAAGAACCUCAAACGGCAGGU
rnacentral:lncRNA from 1 species